rnacentral:tRNA from 1 species
GCUUUCGUGGUGUAACGGUAGCACACUCGGCACGUAUUCGAGAGAUCGAAGUUCGAGUCCCGGCGAGGGCA